GUAUGGUGCAGUGGUUUGAAUGCUGGACUAGGAGGGCUCCAGGAGACCAGGGUUCGAAUCCCAGUUCA